rnacentral:hammerhead_ribozyme from 1 species
AUCCUGCUAACGAGUCCCAAAUAGGACGACACGCGCGUCAAACUGCAU